rnacentral:rRNA from 1 species
GUCCACGCCGUAAACGAUGCUCACUGGUUCUGUGCGAUAUAUUGUACGGGAUUAAGCGAAAGUAUUAAGUGAGCCACCUGGGGAGUACGUCGGCAACGAUGAAACUCAAAGGAAUUGACGGGGGCCCGCACAAGCGGAGGAACAUGUGGUUUAAUUCGAUGAUACGCGAAGAACCUUACCAAGGCUUGACAUAUACCUGAAAAGGCUAGAAAUAGUCUCCCCGCAAGGCAGGUAUACAGGUGGUGCAUGGUUGUCGU